rnacentral:rRNA from 1 species
AGCAGUAGCCACGGGAAUACGAAGGGGGCUAGCGUUGUUCGGAUUUACUGGGCGUAAAGCGCACGUAGGCGGAUCGUUAAGUCGGGGGUGAAAUCCUGGAGCUCAACUCCAGAACUGCCUUCGAUACUGGCGAUCUUGAGUCCGGAAGAGGUGAGUGGAACUCCUAGUGUAGAGGUGGAAUUCGUAGAUAUUAGGAAGAACACCAGUGGCGAAGGCGGCUCACUGGUCCGGUACUGACGCUGAGGUGCGAAAGCGUGGGGAGCAAACAGGAUUAGAUACCCCGGUAGUCCCUGUCUCUUAUAA